GCCCCGCGCUCCAGCGGCCGAGCGCGUGCGGCCGCCGAGCACAUGGGCCCGCGGGCCGGGUGGACUCGGGCGGCCUGGACCGGGAGGAACAGCGAGGGGCGGCGAGCGAGGCUGGGUCCCGGCACGCCCCCGGAGCCCCCCGAGUGGAUUUCCACGCGGAAAGGAUGGUGGCCGUCCGGGUGACCUGCGGAGACACGGCCGGAUCCACCUUCCAGCCUGAUCUUUUGAUCAGGGAGGAAUUCAAAAGAAUGCCCCCUUGUGAUGGCUGCGCUGUCAAGUACAUGGAGCUUCCCUCGAGGAUUUUCUGAGCCUUGUGGAUGUACCGUGAGCCUCGCUGCCUGGGGAGUAAGGCGGCGGAAGCAGUCUCUGGGGGGACCCAUGCCCGCAGCAUUUCUGGAUGCUAAAGGUGGCUUUAAGGAAGGCCCAGCUGAGUGCCUCGUGGAUUCCUGCAGCCUGGAUGCCUGCGGGGGACAGAAGACCGAUGCUUCCUGCCCUCAUCACCCAGGAAUGUCGGGAGGGGCUCCGCCAAUUCCCUGAAGGGCUCCCAGUGAAACAAAUGGUGCCACCCUUGGUUGAUCAGCUGGGGCUGAGAGGAGAAGGCGAUGAUGGAAUGCGAGUGAAGCUCAACAUCUCAGCAUUUUCCAGGAGCAAUAAACCUUCCUGUGAUGGCUGUGGUGUAAUCUGAAAAAAAGCAGAUCCGUUCAGAACUCCAGAAGGACUUGAAAACUGUCCUGCCCCGAACGAAAGCUGGAAUAUCGUGGGCUUUGAUGAACCAAGGAAAAGUGCCUUCAUCAGGACGCAGCAGUAAGCCUGCUGACUACUUAAGCCCUGCCUAGGUUCCUAGGAAAUGGGCAGGAAAAGUGCCUGCCACCUGCUGCUUGCUGGUGUGCUGUUUUGGCAGCAGGAGCUGUGGGAACACACAGGGGCAGGAGAACAAACACAUUACACACGAGGACUUCCAUCCUCCAGCCAGCAAGGUGCCGACACCUCACACUUGACACCUGCUGAGCGCCCUACUGUGUGCCCCGCCCCCCUGAACGAGGCAGCCUCGGAGCUUGGAUCCUAGUUGGAGAGACAGGCAAUUAGCAGGAUGGCAGAUCCACAUCCAGGAUCCUGGGAAGCACUUGACAGAGGGGACGAGCCCAGCAAUAACACUGACCAAAGAGAAGUGAAUCCUUUUGCCCAGUGACUGGAAGACACAAGAAAGUGGUGGGGGGUGGGAGGCAGGGGGGAAGGAGCCUGGCACCUUGCCACGCUUCCCCUGUAAGGAGCACACACCCUCUCCCCCACCCCCUCCCCCCAAACACAUAAUACCUUUUAACUGGUGAUUUGGUCACUGCUGCGCUGUCUUCAUUGAAUGUGGUUUUGAGAGAAUGGUUGGUCUGGAAAUUUUAUUUUCAAUUAAACUUCCUUGUGGAACU
rnacentral:lncRNA from 1 species